rnacentral:rRNA from 1 species
ACUCAAAUGAAUUGACGGGGACUUGCACAAGCGGUGGAUCAUGUGGUUUAAUUCGAUGACAAACGAAGAACCUUACCAGGGUUUAAACUAGCUGAAGAUAGUAAGAAACUAUUAUCGUCGCAAGACAGUUAGUCAGGUGAUGCAUGGCCGUCGUCAGUUCGUGGCUUGAGUUGUUCCCUUCAGUGGGGUAACGAACGCAACCCUCGUUGCCUGUUAUAAUUGUCAGGCGAGACUGCCCACGACAAAGCGCAGAUAUUGGUUAAAUCCAAUUGUGCUCUGUGUCGUGGGAGGAAGGUGAGGAUGACGCCAGGUCAGCAUGUCCCUUAUACCCUGGGCUACACACGUGAUACAAUCGCCCAUACAACAGGACGCAAUACCGAUAAAAGGUGGAGCAAAUCCUUAUAAAGUGGGCGCCAGUUUGGAUUGAGGUCUGCAACUCGACCUCAUGAAACCGGAAUCGCUAGUAAUCGCAGGUCAGCUAUACUGCGGUGAAUACGUUCUCGAGUCUUGUACACACCGCCCGU